GCAAACUGGAGAUGGCGACCGGCGCACGGGUGGAGUAACACGUAUCCAACCUGCCGAUAACUCGGGGAUAGCCUUUCGAAAGAAAGAUUAAUACCCGAUGGCAUAAUAGAACCGCAUGGUUUGAUUAUUAAAGAAUUUCGGUUAUCGAUGGGGAUGCGUUCCAUUAGGCAGUUGGUGGGGUAACGGCCCACCAAACCUUCGAUGGAUAGGGGUUCUGAGAGGAAGGUCCCCACAUUGGAACUGAGACACGGUCCAAACUCCUACGGGAGGCAGCAUG
rnacentral:rRNA from 1 species